rnacentral:rRNA from 1 species
AAAUUAGCGGAUGACUUGUGGCUGGGGGUGAAAGGCCAAUCAAACCGGGAGAUAGCUGGUUCUCCCCGAAAGCUAUUUAGGUAGCGCCUCGUGAAUUCAUCUUCGGGGGUAGAGCACUGUUUCGGCUAGGGGGUCAUCCCGACUUACCAACCCGAUGCAAACUACGAAUACCGAAGAAUGUUAUCACGGGAGACACACGGCGGGUGCUAACGUCCGUCGUGAAGAGGGAAACAACCCAGACCGCCAGCUAAGGUCCCAAAGUCAUGGUUAAGUGGGAAACGAUGUGGGAAGGCACAGACAGCCAGGAUGUUGGCUUAGAAGCAGCCAUCAUUUAAAGAAAGCGUAAUAGCUCACUGGUCGAGUCGGCCUGCGCGGAAGAUGUAACGGGGCUAAACCAUGCACCGAAGCUGCGGCAGCGACACUAUGUGUUGUUGGGUAGGGGAGCGUUCUGUAAGCCUGCGAAGGUGACCUGUGAGGGUUGCUGGAGGUAUCAGAAGUGCGAAUGCUGACAUAAGUAACGAUAAAGCGGGUGAAAAGCCCGCUCGCCGGAAGACCAAGGGUUCCUGUCCAACGUUAAUCGGGGCAGGGUGAGUCGACCCCUAAGGCGAGGCCGAAAGGCGUAGUCGAUGGGAAACAGGUUAAUAUUCCUGUACUUGGUGUUACUGCGAAGGGGGGACGGAGAAGGCUAUGUUAGCCGGGCGACGGUUGUCCCGGUUUAAGCAUGUAGGCUGGUUGUCCAGGCAAAUCCGGAUAAUCAAGGCUGAGGUGUGAUGACGAGGCACUACGGUGCUGAAGUAACAAAUGCCCUGCUUCCAGGAAAAGCCUCUAAGCAUCAGG